rnacentral:rRNA from 1 species
AACUUGGAAAUAGCUGGUUCUCUCCGAAAACUAUUUAGGUAGUGCCUCAAGUAUCACCAUCGGGGGUAGAGCACUGUUAUGGCUAGGGGGUCAUCGCGACUUACCAAACCAUUGCAAACUCCGAAUACCGAUGAGUGCGAGCUUGGGAGACAGACGUCGGGUGCUAACGUCCGGCGUCAAGAGGGAAACAACCCAGACCGCCAGCUAAGGUCCCAAAGAUUGGCUAAGUGGAAAACGAAGUGGGAAGGCUAAAACAGUCAGGAUGUUGGCUUAGAAGCAGCCAUCAUUUAAAGAAAGCGUAAUAGCUCACUGAUCGAGUCGUCCUGCGCGGAAGAUGUAACGGGGCUAAGCCAGUUACCGAAGCUGCGGAUUCACAGUUUACUGUGAGUGGUAGGAGAGCGUUCUGUAAGCCUGCGAAGGUGUCUUGUAAAGGAUGCUGGAGGUAUCAGAAGUGCGAAUGCUGACAUGAGUAGCGAUAAUGGGGGUGAAAAGCCCCCACGCCGUAAGCCCAAGGUUUCCUGUUCAACGUUCAUCGGAGCAGGGUGAGUCGGCCCCUAAGGCGAGGCAGAGAUGCGUAGCUGAUGGGAAGCAGGUUAAUAUUCCUGCACCGUCGUAUGAUGCGAUGGGGGGACGGAUCGCGGAAGGUUGUCAGGCGGUUGGAAGAGCCUGUUCUUGACUUGUAGAAGGUGCUUAGGCAAAUCCGGGCACGUAAUUCAAGGGGUUGAGACGAGACACUUAGGUGUCGAAGCAAUCGGAAGUGGUUCCAAGAAAAGCCUCUAAGCUUCAGUCAUACGAGACCGUACCGCAAACCGACACAGGUGGGCGAGAUGAGUAUUCUAAGGCGCUUGAGAGAACUCGGGAGAAGGAACUCGGCAAAUUGGUACCGUAACUUCGGGAAAAGGUACGCCCCGGUAGCUUGAUUGGUUUACUCCAUGAGGGUGAAAGGGUUGCAAUAAACUGGUGGCUGCGACUGUUUAAUAAAAACACAGCACUCUGCAAACACGAAAGUGGACGUAUAGGGUGUGACGCCUGCCCGGUGCUGGAAGGUUAAGUGAUGGGGUGCAAGCUCUUGAUCGAAGCCCCAGUAAACGGCGGCCGUAACUAUAACGGUCCUAAGGUAGCGAAAUUCCUUGUCGGGUAAGUUCCGACCUGCACGAAUGGCGUAACGAUGGCCACACUGUCUCCUCCCGAGACUCAGCGAAGUUGAAAUGUUUGUGAUGAUGCAAUCUACCCGCGGCUAGACGGAAAGACCCCAUGAACCUUUACUGUAGCUUUGCAUUGGACUUUGAACCAAUCUGUGUAGGAUAGGUGGGAGGCUUUGAAGCGGGGACGCCAGUUCUCGUGGAGCCAUCCUUGAAAUACCACCCUGGUUUGUUUGAGGUUCUAACCUUGGCCCGUUAUCCGGGUCGGGGACAGUGCAUGGUAGGCAGUUUGACUGGGGCGGUCUCCUCCCAAAGUGUAACGGAGGAGUUCGAAGGUACGCUAGGUACGGUCGGACAUCGUGCUAAUAGUGCAAUGGCAUAAGCGUGCUUAACUGCGAGACUGACAAGUCGAGCAGAUGCGAAAGCAGGACAUAGUGAUCCGGUGGUUCUGUAUGGAAGGGCCAUCGCUCAACGGAUAAAAGGUACUCUGGGGAUAACAGGCUGAUUCCGCCCAAGAGUUCAUAUCGACGGCGGAGUUUGGCACCUCGAUGUCGGCUCAUCACAUCCUGGGGCUGUAGCCGGUCCCAAGGGUAUGGCUGUUCGCCAUUUAAAGUGGUACGUGAGCUGGGUUUAAAACGUCGUGAGACAGUUUGGUCCCUAUCUGCCGUGGGCGUUGGA